GGGAAUAUUGGACAAUGGGGGCAACCCUGAUCCAGCAAUGCCGCGUGUGUGAAGAAGGCCUUAGGGUUGUAAAGCACUUUAGGCUGGGAGGAAGAUAAGGUGUUUAAGAGAUGAUUUAUUUGACUGUACCGGCAGAAUAAGCACCGGCUAACUCUGUGCCAGCAGCCGCGGUAAUACAGAGGGUGCGAGCGUUAAUCGGAGUUACUGGGCGUAAAGGGCGCGUAGGCGGUUAUAUAAGAUUGAUGUGAAAUCCCUGGGCUUAACCUAGGAACUGCAUCGAUGACUGUAUGGCUGGAGUACUGUAGAGGGUAGUGGAAUUUCCGGUGUAGCGGUGAAAUGCGUAGAGAUCGGAAGGAACACCAGUGGCGAAGGCGGCUACCUGGACAGAUACUGACGCUGAGGCGCGAGAGCGUGGGGAGCAAAC
rnacentral:rRNA from 1 species